AGGAAGCGUAGGUUCAUCCCAAGCUCCAAAUGCUACACUCUGAAUACUGAUCUUGGCUCCAGGUGUUUAUUCCUCUCUUGUGGGUCAAACAGUAACAUGGUGGUCAGGAAACAGUUUACAAAGUCUUGUGGCUGUUUGUUGGUGUGGGUUUGCUAGGAUUAGGACUGCAAUAUAAAGCUUAUAAGAAGAAAUUAGGCCAACGGUUGUUUUGGUGCAGCAACUGUCUCUUGCUAUGAAUACAUUUGGCAGCUGUCACAAUGGGGCUCUGAUCUUGCUUGGGACUGGUAAGUGCUUCUGUAAUACAAAUAAAAAAUAAUGGGUGGGGAAAAAUGAAGACUAAAAUUAAGUUAGAAUUGCCUCCAAAAACUAUUAGUAUGGUGUAAAACUGAGGAGGGGGGAAAGACAAGUAGGAAAAAGGGAAUGAUGCAAAGAAAAUGUAGGGCAAAAGAAAGGAAAAUUAGACACAGCAAGAGGAGGAUGUAGGAAGAGAGAACAAAUGAGAACACGAUGGACUGCGAAGUGUAGAUUUACAGUAUAAUGUAAACCCAAGGGCUUUUAUGGUGUAAAGAUGUUUUGGGGCAUCUCCAGGAUUGGGAAAAGAUGUUCAAAUGGCCUCUUCUUGAGAGAGUGUCUUUCUACUCUUUCCACCCUCCUUCCAUGAUGAUGAAUGUGGAUGGUUGUUCUGACUUCCACACUCUGAUUGGGGGAAUGAUAGCGAUCUUUCCAGAGCCGCAGUAAAACUUUUAUUAUAUAAGAUACUCUGUGAGUACACUUUUUUUUUCUCAAGUAGGCUGAUGCAGAGUUACUUUAAUCAGGGCAGAAUUUAUUUCCAGGGAUAAUGAGGGAGUUCACCUGCUUCACUGAUGUUGAUGCAAAUAGUUGCCCAUGUGUUCAUGACCUAAGAACGUGUGAUAGUGACGCAUGCAAGU